UUUAUGGAGAGUUUGAUCCUGGCUCAGGAUGAACGCUGGCGGCGUGCCUAAUACAUGCAAGUCGAGCGAACGGACGAGAAGCUUGCUUCUCUGAUGUUAGCGGCGGACGGGUGAGUAACACGUGGAUAACCUACCUAUAAGACUGGGAUAACUUCGGGAAACCGGAGCUAAUACCGGAUAAUAUUUUGAACCGCAUGGUUCAAAAGUGAAAGACGGUCUUGCUGUCACUUAUAGAUGGAUCCGCGCUGCAUUAGCUAGUUGGUAAGGUAACGGCUUACCAAGGCAACGAUGCAUAGCCGACCUGAGAGGGUGAUCGGCCACACUGGAACUGAGACACGGUCCAGACUCCUACGGGAGGCAGCAGUAGGGAAUCUUCCGCAAUGGGCGAAAGCCUGACGGAGCAACGCCGCGUGAGUGAUGAAGGUCUUCGGAUCGUAAAACUCUGUUAUUAGGGAAGAACAUAUGUGUAAGUAACUGUGCACAUCUUGACGGUACCUAAUCAGAAAGCCACGGCUAACUACGUGCCAGCAGCCGCGGUAAUACGUAGGUGGCAAGCGUUAUCCGGAAUUAUUGGGCGUAAAGCGCGCGUAGGCGGUUUUUUAAGUCUGAUGUGAAAGCCCACGGCUCAACCGUGGAGGGACAUUGGAAACUGGAAAACUUGAGUGCAGAAGAGGAAAGUGGAAUUCCAUGUGUAGCGGUGAAAUGCGCAGAGAUAUGGAGGAACACCAGUGGCGAAGGCGACUUUCUGGUCUGUAACUGACGCUGAUGUGCGAAAGCGUGGGGAUCAAACAGGAUUAGAUUACCCUGGUAGUCCACGCCGUAAACGAUGAGUGCUAAGUGUUAGGGGGGUUUCCGCCCCUUAGUGCUGCAGCUAACGCAUUAAGCACUCCGCCUGGGGAGUACGACCGCAAGGUUGAAACUCAAAGGAAUUGACGGG
rnacentral:rRNA from 1 species